rnacentral:rRNA from 1 species
UACGGAGGGAGCUAGCGUGGUUCGGAAUUACUGGGCGUAAAGCGCACGUAGGCGGCUUUGUAAGUUAGAGGUGAAAGCCCGGGGCUCAACUCCGGAACUGCCUUUAAAACUGCAUCGCUUGAAUCCAGGAGAGGUGAGUGGAAUUCCGAGUGUAGAGGUGAAAUUCGUAGAUAUUCGGAAGAACACCAGUGGCGAAGGCGGCUCACUGUACUGGUAUUGACGCUGAGGUGCGAAAUCGUGGGGAGCAAGCAGG